rnacentral:rRNA from 1 species
UGAACGCUGGCGGCAGGCCUAACACAUGCAAGUCGAGCGGUAACAGGGGUAGCUUGCUACCCGCUGACGAGCGGCGGACGGGUGAGUAAUGCAUAGGAAUCUGCCCGGUAGUGGGGGAUAACCUGGGGAAACCCAGGCUAAUACCGCAUACGUCCUACGGGAGAAAGGGGGCUCCGGCUCCCGCUAUUGGAUGAGCCUAUGUCGGAUUAGCUAGUUGGUGAGGUAAAGGCUCACCAAGGCAACGAUCCGUAGCUGGUCUGAGAGGAUGAUCAGCCACAUCGGGACUGAGACACGGCCCGAACUCCUACGGGAGGCAGCAGUGGGGAAUAUUGGACAAUGGGGGCAACCCUGAUCCAGCCAUGCCGCGUGUGUGAAGAAGGCCCUCGGGUUGUAAAGCACUUUCAGCGAGGAAGAACGCCUAGUGGUUAAUACCCAUUAGGAAAGACAUCACUCGCAGAAGAAGCACCGGCUAACUCCGUGCCAGCAGCCGCGGUAAUACGGAGGGUGCAAGCGUUAAUCGGAAUUACUGGGCGUAAAGCGCGCGUAGGUGGCUUGAUAAGCCGGUUGUGAAAGCCCCGGGCUCAACCUGGGAACGGCAUCCGGAACUGUCAAGCUAGAGUGCAGGAGAGGAAGGUAGAAUUCCCGGUGUAGCGGUGAAAUGCGUAGAGAUCGGGAGGAAUACCAGUGGCGAAGGCGGCCUUCUGGACUGACACUGACACUGAGGUGCGAAAGCGUGGGUAGCAAACAGGAUUAGAUACCCUGGUAGUCCACGCCGUAAACGAUGUCGACCAGCCGUUGGGUGCCUAGCGCACUUUGUGGCGAAGUUAACGCGAUAAGUCGACCGCCUGGGGAGUACGGCCGCAAGGUUAAAACUCAAAUGAAUUGACGGGGGCCCGCACAAGCGGUGGAGCAUGUGGUUUAAUUCGAUGCAACGCGAAGAACCUUACCUACUCUUGACAUCCUGCGAACUUGUGAGAGUAUCACUUGGUGCCUUCGGGAACGCAGAGACAGGUGUCUGCAUGGCUGU